GCUAGGAUGAACGCUAGCGACAGGCUAACACAUGCAAGUCGAGGGGUAACAGGGUAGCAAUACCGCUGACGACCGGCGCACGGGUGAGUAACGCGUAUGCAACCUGCCUAUAACUGGGGAAUAGCUCCCUGAAAAGGGGAAUUAACACCGCAUAACACUAUUGAUUCGCAUGGAUUGGUAGUUAAAUGUAGCGAUACAGGUUAUAGAUGGGCAUGCGUGACAUUAGCUAGUUGGUGAGGUAACGGCUCACCAAGGCUACGAUGUCUAGGGGUUCUGAGAGGAAGGUCCCCCCACACUGGUACUGAGACACGGACCAGACUCCUACGGGAGGCAGCAGUGAGGAAUAUUGGUCAAUGGGCGCAAGCCUGAACCAGCCAUGUCGCGUGCAGGAAGAACCUGCCCUAUGGGUUGUAAACUGCUUUUAUAGUAGAAGAAACACAUCUACGCGUAGAUGUCUGCCAGUAUACUAUGAAUAAGCAUCGGCUAACUCCGUGCCAGCCGCCGC
rnacentral:rRNA from 1 species